AUGUUAUACAAAAAAAGAAAAGUUUAUCAUUCCCUGUCAAGAAUGGAAGAGGUACUCAAACAAAAAAAUACCAAGCAUAUAGUUAAAGUGCUGCCACCUAUUUUAUUGUAUUGCAUCUGAUAACUAUU